rnacentral:rRNA from 1 species
UGAGCAAUCUGCCCUUCUCUUUGGAAUAAGCGUUGGAAACGACGUCUAAUGCCGAAUACGACCUCCUUUCGCAUGAUUGGAGGUGGAAAGCUCCGGCGGAGAAGGAUGAGCUCGCGGCCUAUCAGCUAGUUGGUGUGGGUAAUGGCCCACCAAGGCGACGACGGGUAGCCGGCCUGAGAGGGUGACCGGCCACACUGGGACUGAGACACGGCCCAGACUCCGUACGGGAGNAGCG